AGAAAAUAAGUAAACUGUUAAAUUUUAGAUCACAAUGAGAUAGGUUUAACCAGAUUCAAGAAAAUUGAAAAUAUGUCAACAAAUUAAGCAUAUAUCAAGUUUUGCAAAAUUGACAUUGUCACGGGGCAAUUUGGGAGAAACUACUCUAUUUGAAUGACAGACUAUUGUGCCGUGGAAGUUGACGACUGACUGCACUUCCAAAUAUGUAGUGAUGCACAAAAGUAUGAAUGAGAGAUUAAAUAUGUCUGAAUAGAAUAUCUCAAUCACAAUAACAAAUUCAUUCAAUAUCAUAGGAGCUCAAAAGAUGGUAAGACUACUAGAGUAACAUCCAUGCAACGGCAAAUUGUACCUAUAAUAACAUAGAGAGUUGACAAUACAGAUCAAUUCAGUUAUUAUGGUUCUAAUCAUCCACUUCAUAUAAAUACACAAACUCCGCCAAUGUUUAUUUAUAAAUAUAAAGUUGUAUGUCGGGAUACAACCAUCAUGGAGAAUAGCAUGCUCAGUAGCGGUCUCCAGAGUUGACAGAUUGGCUGCGUUCAGAUCUCACCUGUUUAUUGGGUUAAAAAUUAGAAC
rnacentral:lncRNA from 1 species